UACAGAGGGGGCUAGCGUUGUUCGGAAUUACUGGGCGUAAAGGGCGCGUAGGUGGCCUGUUAAGUCGAACGUGAAAUCCCCGGGCUCAACCCGGGAACUGCGUCCGAGACUGGCAGGCUCGAAUCCGGGAGAGGGAUGUGGAAUUCCAGGUGUAGCGGUGAAAUGCGUAGAUAUCUGGAGGAAUACCGGUGGCGAAGGCGGCAUCCUGGACCGACAUUGACGCUGAGGAGCGAAAGCUAGGGGAGCAAACGGG
rnacentral:rRNA from 1 species